UUCAAGACGGGUCGGUUGGAACCGAUUAAGCCAGCAUCACAGAAACCGAGUACUCGAAAGUGGAGCUCGGAAACAGGAACACUCCUCAGCCACAAGGAAAAGGAAAGAACAAAGAUAUAACGGUCCACAAGGAACCUACCUUCUUUGAACGAAAUCAAUUCCGAGUAGCUGAUGCUGACCUCUCCAAAAAGAUGAACCGGAAAUACAUCAAGAAACCAAAGCCUAAACCUGGUGAGAGAGAGAAGGCAAAGGGAUAGAUGGCAAACCGGCGGCACUUCUUGGAAUCAAAAAGGUCCCAAUCGCUUCCUUUUCAGCAAUUUCAGGCACUUUUAACUCUCUUUCCAAAGAACUUUUCAUCUUUCCCUCACGGUACUUGUUUGCUAUCGGUCUCGCGCCAGUACUUAGCUUUAUGUGAAACCUACCACACAUUUUGCGCUCAAAUCCCGAUGAACGCGACUCUAUAAAAGCGUACCGUACGUGGAACAAAAAACGCAGGGGAAGGACGGGAUUCUCACCCUCUAUGAUGUUCUUUCCCAAGAAACUUAACCCUGCGCUUCCACUGGUAACGCCUCUCGAGGCUACAAGUCAACAGCUCGGAAAGAGCAGUUGAUUUCCACUUUGAGCUGAUCCCGGUUCACUCGCCGUUACUAAGGGAAUCAUAGUUAUUUUCUUCUCCUCCGCUUAAUAAUAUGCUUAAGUUCAGCGGGUAACCUCGCCUGAUUUCAGGUCUG